ensembl:lncRNA
AGGCACCCCCCAGCCAUCCGCAUCUCCCCCAGAGCACCCCAAGGAGCAGCUGGCGUACAUGUACAAGGCCCAGGCAAGCUGGGAAAUGCAUAUCCUCAUAAGCCUGAACAGCAUCUGCACAGAUCUAGCAGAAGAACAGAAGGUGUUGACUAACAAGUAGAAUUGGGACAGCUGACCCAGAACAGAAGGAGUUGACCAACAAGUGGAAUUGGGACAGCUGACCCAGAACAGAAGGAGUUGACCAACAAGUAGAAUUGGGACAGAUGACCCAGAACAGGAGUUGACCAACAAGUGGAAUUGGGACAGAUGACCCAGAACAGAAGGAGUUGACCAACAAGUAGAAUUGGGACAGAUGACCCAGAACAGGAGUUGACCAACAAGUGGAAUUGGGACAGAUGACCCAGAACAGAAGGAGUUGACCAACAAGUGGAAUUGGGACAUAUGACCCAGAACAGAAGGAGUUGACCAACAAGUGGAAUUGGGACAGAUGCCCCAGAACAGAAGGAGAUAACCAACAAGUGGAAUUGGG